AUAUGCUGUCGCAGCGGACCUUUGGAGCUUGCUCCAUUGGUUUAGCGGCGGACGGGUGAGUAACACGUGGGCAACCUGCCCUGCAGAUCGGGAUAACUCCGGGAAACCGGUGCUAAUACCGAAUAGUUUUUUGCCCCUCCUGGGGCGAAACGGAAAGACGGUUUCGGCUGUCACUGCAGGAUGGGCCCGCGGCGCAUUAGCUAGUUGGUGGGGUAAUGGCCCACCAAGGCGACGAUGCGUAGCCGACUGAGAGGGUGAUCGGCCACACUGGGAUGAGACACGGCCCAGACUCCUACGGGAGGCAGCAGUAGGGAAUCUUCCGCAAUGGACGCAAGUCUGACGGAGCAACGCCGCGUGAGUGACGAAGGUUUUCGGAUCGUAAAACUCUGUUGUGAGGGAAGAACAAGUACCAAGUAACUACUGGUACCUUGACGGUACCUCACCAGAAAGCCACGGCUAACUACGUGCCAGCAGCCGCGGUAAUACGUAGGUG
rnacentral:rRNA from 1 species